UACGAAGGGGGCUAGCGUUGUUCGGAAUUACUGGGCGUAAAGCGCGCGCAGGCGGCCUUUCAAGUCAGGGGUGAAAGCCCGGAGCUCAACUCCGGAAUUGCCUUUGAAACUGUCAGGCUCGAGUACGGGAGAGGUGAGUGGAAUUCCCAGUGUAGAGGUGAAAUUCGUAGAUAUUGGGAAGAACACCGGUGGCGAAGGCGGCUCACUGGCCCGUAACUGACGCUCAGGCGCGACAGCGUGGGGAUCAAACAGG
rnacentral:rRNA from 1 species